GCCAGCAGCGUACGUCAUCGGGCUCCCGGCGCGAUUCGGCCAGCGCACUGCUGCCUUCGGAUCUGCGCCUGCGCCUGGUCGCCAGCAGCCCUUGGCUAUAUAAACGUCGUACCGACCAGAGCGUCAUUCAGCAGUAGCAGUGGUGGUGUAGCAGUGUGUGCACGAUGGCCUCUUCCGUCUCGGCUUCACAGUGGGAUCAAAACCAACUGCACAUCCAUCAAAAGAGGAACGUCGCAUUUCAUCAUACCAUCUACCCCUACAUACACUUGCGGCAGUGGACCAAUCCAUGGUAGCUGCAGACCCUUACAACAUUAGGGUAUGGGAACGCUUGUCAGAUAUUCAGAUCGGACCUUCACCUCCUAUACAAAGACGCCAACAGUAAGUGGGCGUGCACCGGCCCAACCGAAUUGCAAGGCGCGUUCAUCGUUGAAGUGCAAC